rnacentral:rRNA from 1 species
UACGGGGGGGAGCAAGCGUUGUUCGGAUUUACUGGGCGUAAAGGGCGCGUAGGCGGCGUGACAAGUCACUUGUGAAAUCUCCGGGCUUAACUCGGAACGGUCAAGUGAUACUGUCGUGCUAGAGUACAGAAGGGGCAACUGGAAUUCUCGGUGUAGCGGUGAAGUGCGUAGAUAUCGAGAGGAACACCUGCGGCGAAGGCGGGUUGCUGGGCUGAUACUGACGCUGAGGCGCGAAAGCUAGGGGAGCGAACGGG